rnacentral:rRNA from 1 species
CCUACGGGUGGCAGCAGUGGGGAAUAUUGGACAAUGGGCGAAAGCCUGAUCCAGCCAUGCCGCGUGUGUGAAGAAGGCCUUCGGGUUGUAAAGCACUUUCAGUGGGGAAGAAAGCCUUGGGGCUAAUACCCUCGAGGAAGGACAUCACCCACAGAAGAAGCACCGGCUAACUCCGUGCCAGCAGCCGCGGUAAUACGGAGGGUGCGAGCGUUAAUCGGAAUUACUGGGCGUAAAGUGCGCGUAGGCGGUCUGAUAAGCCGGUUGUGAAAGCCCCGGGCUCAACCUGGGAACGGCAUCCGGAACUGUCAGGCUAGAGUGCAGGAGAGGAAGGUAGAAUUCCCGGUGUAGAGGUGAAAUGCGUAGAGAUCGGGAGGAAUACCAGUGGCGAAGGCGGCCUUCUGGACUGACACUGACGCUGAGGUGCGAAAGCGUGGGUAGCAAACAGGAUUAGAUACCCGGUAGUC